rnacentral:rRNA from 1 species
GGUUAAGCGACUAAGCGUACACGGUGGAUGCCCUGGCAGUCAGAGGCGAUGAAGGACGUGCUAAUCUGCGAUAAGCGUCGGUAAGGUGAUAUGAACCGUUAUAACCGGCGAUUUCCGAAUGGGGAAACCCAGUGUGUUUCGACACACUAUCAUUAACUGAAUCCAUAGGUUAAUGAGGCGAACCGGGGGAACUGAAACAUCUAAGUACCCCGAGGAAAAGAAAUCAACCGAGAUUCCCCCAGUAGCGGCGAGCGAACGGGGAGCAGCCCAGAGCCUGAAUCAGUGUGUGUGUUAGUGGAAGCGUCUGGAAAGGCGCGCGAUACAGGGUGACAGCCCCGUACACAAAAAUGCACAUGCUGUGAGCUCGAUGAGUAGGGCGGGACACGUGGUAUCCUGUCUGAAUAUGGGGGGACCAUCCUCCAAGGCUAAAUACUCCUGACUGACCGAUAGUGAACCAGUACCGUGAGGGAAAGGCGAAAAGAACCCCGGCGAGGGGAGUGAAAAAGAACCUGAAACCGU